GAUGAACGCUAGCGGGAGGCCUAACACAUGCAAGCCGAGCGGUAUUGUUUCUUCGGAAAUGAGAGAGCGGCGUACGGGUGCGGAACACGUGUGCAACCUGCCCUUAUCUGGGGGAUAGCCUUUCGAAAGGAAGAUUAAUACUCCAUAAUAUAUUGAACGGUAUCGUCUAAUAUUGAAAGCUCCGGCGGAUAGUGAUGGGCACGCGCAAGAUUAGCUAGUUGGUGAGGUAACGGCUCACCAAGGCAAUGAUCUUUAGGGGGCCUGAGAGGGUGAUCCCCCACACUGGUACUGAGACACGGACCAGACUCCUACGGGAGGCAGCAGUGAGGAAUAUUGGUCAAUGGGUGCAAGCCUGAACCAGCCAUCCCGCGUGAAGGACGACUGCCCUAUGGGUUGUAAACUUCUUUUGUAUAGGGAUAAACCUUUCCACGUGUGGAAAGCUGAAGGUACUAUACGAAUAAGCACCGGCUAACUCCGUGACAGCAGCCGCAGUAAGAC
rnacentral:rRNA from 1 species